UCCAUGGUGGCGUAACUGGUUAGCGCGCGGUACUUUUAAUACCGAGGUUGUGAGUUCGAUCUCACAUGGGGAA
rnacentral:tRNA from 1 species